rnacentral:lncRNA from 14 species
AUGCCUUUGUUUAUUCCCACCCUUCUUUUAUUUCCUGCUUUAUUCCCAUCUUUAUUUCCUGGUCUGUUCCCAUCUUUAUUUUAUUUCCAUCCUUAUUUUAUUUCCUGCUUUAUUCCCAUCCUUUAUUCUGUUUCCUGCUUUGUUCCCAUCCUUAUUUUAUUAUAUUUCCUGGUUAUUCCCAUCCUUAUUUUAUUGUAUUUCUUGCUUUAUUCCCACCCUUAUUUUAUUUUCUUUCCUGCUUUGUUCCCAUCCUUAUUUUCUUUCCUAGUUUAUUCCCAUCCUUAUUUUAUUUCCUGGUUAUUCCCAUCCUUAUUUUAUUUUAUUUUAUUUCCUGAUUUAUUCCCGCCCUUAUUUUAUUCCCUGGUUUUGUACAAUAUUGGAGCAGCUCCUGCAGCAGUGGUGGUUCUGUGUUUGUAAAUAAAGAGGUACCUUCCGUUUCCUAAAAUCCACGGGUAAAUCUUGGCUUUUCCAUGGAAAAGUUGGGGGUUCCUGUCGUGCUGGAAUUCGGGAUCUUUCAAACACGCCGCGUUUGGGGUUUUUAGGGUAUUUUUUGUUGGUUUUAGUGAAGGGAGAGGAGUAAAACCAAACGCUGAGCGCUCAGGGAAUGGAAUUCCCAGCCAGGGAAUGUCCCAGGCCAGGCUGGGCGAGGUUUGGAGCAUCCUGGGAUGGUGGAAUUGUGGGAUUUGAGGUCCCUUCCCACCCAGAGCAGUCUGGAAUUCCCAGAUCCCUGAGUGCGCUCGGAGCUGGACGUGGAG